GGUUGCGCUGCUCGUUUUCACCGCGUGGUAACCUCGCAUUGGCCAAUGGCUUGGGGGCUCAUGUGAUGUGUUGGUUGGCUGGGUCAACCGUUUCGUGGUGCGUGCGCACCCUGUCCCUGCACGCCGCGUGCACGUCACGCCAUUUGCGGGAGAUCGUGCGAGAGCCACGCCCAUUGGUCACCGCCCCGCACAAACCCUACCCUUUCCAGCACUCCCAAAUCGAUGCAGCCGCCUCCACUCUCCCUCUCUUCCUCCCCCAACGCGCCGGCCGCUUCCACCUGCCAUACCGCCUCCCCGCUGCCGCCAUGGCCUCUUCAGGAGGCACGCCCCUCCAUAGUGCGAAGCAGGAGACCAGGAUCCGAAUGAGGAAGAGGAGAUCCGGGCGCCCCAACGGUGGAUCAAUCGAUGCGAGGUGACGACGAGCUCCUCCGGACGUGGGGGAGCAGCCAGGCUGGAGAUCCAGUCGGCGCAUUCCCCACUGGGUUGGGGAGACGCCGACAAUAGGGGCAAGGGGCAUCUGGGUCGAAGCUGCAGCGCUCCGGUCCCCAAGCCGCCUCCAGGCUCGCUUCCUCCUCCAUCCUCCCGCAUCUCAUCCAUCUCGACGGAUACGAGGCGUGCAGGCAUGGAGUCGAGGUUCUCCGGCGGCGGCAGGAACCUCCAGGCAGAGAGCGACCCCAUGGAUCCGUCCCUGCAGGAGAGAAGGAAGGAGAGGAGACAUGCCAUGGAGAUGGGAUGAGAACGUCCAUGGCCAGCCAAUCGACCCCCACCUCCGGUGCGCGACCCCAUGAAGGAUUUUGCGCUGCCGCCUUCUUUCGCCGGUCCAUGCCCUGGAAGAGCGACACCAGCCAGGCAUUGUAUGGGAAUGAAGCAAAAAGCAUGAAGAAAAUAGAGCAGGUCGUGUGUCAUCGUGCAUGUAGUCUACCUUCCAUUGGCGUUACUGCACCUGGUUAUCUACAGAGGAAGGCAAGGAUAACUAGAUUAAACAUUUCACAAGACCCUCCCAAUUACAGGCACAAACUCCUUUCAAGAUAUUACAAGUGUGGUUGAUUACGGGAGAUUGUCAAAUGAAAAGAAGCUAUAUCCUUUAUAUUUAUCUAGAUGUUUAAUUAGCUGCACAACCAUACGUGAUUCUAUAAGGAAACUAUUUAUCCUGAUGAUCUUGAUAUCCAAUCAUGUAUUACAGUAUUAGUAUAGGCUGUAAUUUUUGGCUAGGAAUCUAUAUGUACAGUUAUGUAUGAAUGGGCUAUGAUUCUUUUUUCCUUCUGAGUAGAUUCUUUUUUUAUUCACUCCCUGUGAAAUAAUUUCAGAGCUACUGUGUUGUAGUAAUUAUUUGGCACAUCCGUAACUCAACCAGUUUAUGCGUGUUGAUUUAGUGUGUAUUUGGUUCCAAAGUGAACAAAUUAUUGGCCUUCGCUAGGCAAGGAUAGGUGUUUGGUACCAAAGAAAAAUUAACUUUGUCAAGCUAACUAGCACACAUGGUCUGAAGCAGCUACUUUUUAUAUCCCUGGACUAUAGAUAUUACAUGCAUCAGUACUUGAUGCAUCUAUGAUAUGCUUUUGCUAUUUAUUGUGGCCCUUAAUGACUACUCUGCUGUGAACCCAGUGUUUAGGUUGCAGGCUCAACUAUAUAUCCAUGGAUGUUACCCAUAUGGCAAUCUAUAAUUCUAUAUGAAUUUUGUAGCUAGCUUGAAGCGAAUGUGGUGAUCAAGGCUCUAAUCUGCAUUCUUUAUUUGCAUGAAUGUCGUGUGCAGAUAGGUACUAACCAUGGAAUAUUUUCCUCAUUGACAACAAGUACUCCGAUAACAAUUUAUAAAAAUUGAUAUAAUUUCACAAGUAUACAGAUAGCCGACAAGGCAGCAAUGCUAUUGUUCAAAUGUAGUUGAGUUGAGCUUUAGGUGUUUCAGUAACAGUGUUGCGUGCGUGCUUUAUUUGUUUGUUUCGGUUUCUUAUGCUGUUUAUUUCAUUUAUACUGCUUCCUGUGCUAGGAUGUGCCUUGCUGUGUCAUUUGUGAUCCCAUUUUUAGACCCUGGUGGCUCAGUUUUGUUUGCCCGCUCUUUCAUGCGUGUGUGAGAUUAUUGACGAUGGGGUUGUGCUUGUUGGGGUGGAGCCAAAUCAGUGUCUCCCUGCCGCCAGUUAGGGUGUUCUUCUGGGCAACUGGCGGUACGGGGGCACUGUCCGCCUAUGAGCAGGCUGCUUUGCAAGCUAUAGAAUUCUUACAGGAACGAUGUAAAUCAUGUUGCUGUUGAUUAGGAUGAUUCAUAUACAACUUGGGUCUAUAUUUUUAUUAGCCUGAUUAGGGGAGAGAGAGAGGCAGGGAGGUGCCUAGGACGAGUAGGAAGGCUCUGGGCAAAAUUUUGCCGAUCCUGUGUAAGUUUUGGUUUGCCCAGUUAAACGUGUACACUUCAUGUCAUAUAGCAUAAUAAUAGCAGAUGAUAAACUAUCGUUGUCAUAUUAUUGAACUUGAUAUCCUGUUUGAACUAGACAGAUAAUUUUGACAAGAUUUUAUCCUAGCGUAAACAUGCUGUCAUAGUGUCAACACAAUAAUAAUAGAAAAACCUUUUCAAAAUUCAGGUGAGGUGAAGCAAGCAAGCACCUCCCCGUGUUUUAUAUGUAAGCAAUCAACCCCCCCCCCCCGCGUGUUGCUUUGCCCGACCAUUGUUCGUUUAAACCUUUCUUCUGUAUUAGCGCUACUGGAUAACCGUCAUUGAUCUACCAAAAAGGAAUCAUAACACUACAGGUCAUGGAAAAUAGAUAUAGUUAGCACAUAAUCCUGCAAGUUUCACCUAAUAUGCACAUGUCGUUUCAGUUUUCCAAAAUAUAUACCAUUGAGAAAGUUACUGGAUGCAGUGCAGAUUCUAGGAUAUUAACAUUUGCAGCCAUACGUUGGUUUCAAUGGUGACAUAUUUUUGUCAAUCCCACAGAGAUAAUUUAAUUCAAGACUAGCAAAUACAGUUAAGUUUAAACUGUUUCCUUUGAUGAAAUUCUAAUGUUUUUCCAAACAAAGUAUGAUGAACUUAAAAUCCAUAAUAUGAAGCUGUGUCUGCUGCAUCAGUACAGUUGAUGCUUAGGGACUAAUUCUUUAUAUUUCCUGAUGUAUUAGUUGAGAUCGAGGAGAGAGCAAGCCAUUGCAGAGGUGAGGGGAUACGAGGGUGGGCAGAGGUCAGGCAUUGCUAACAGAUUUGCGGCGGAGUGGGAGAGGUGAUGCCGGCCGGCCGACGCCUCACCACCGGCUCCUGUUUGGCGGUGGCAAAGAGAAGGGUGCCGAGGAUGUGUUGCUCUAUGCAUGGCUGUUGAAGUACAUCAUCGUUAUGAUGUGUAUGGUUUCUCUAUUUUCAGCCCUACUGCUCUAGAGCCCAAAUCCCAUGACCAUGCCCCCACCUCUCCUUCGUUGAAUGAAGGGAGUCUGGUUGCUAAAAAGUGAGUUUUCUUAAUCAGUAUGUAUGGUCCCUCUGCAUAUGCCAUUUCUUCAUAUUUAAGAGGCCCUCAAGCUUUGUCAGUUUUCUAAUAGAUAUGGAAUUUUAAUUUGAUAGUCCCAACAACGGUGGGUACUGAUGGAGCUAUCUAUUAUUUAUUGUUAAUUUGUAAUACUUUUGUCAGCUUCUAGCAUGUCGUUGCUCUACCAGAGUGCAAUUUUCUCUGCGUGGCAUACACCAGUUACCAUUAGUUGAUAUGUUUGUUGAAGUUUUAUUGCAAGUUAAAUAAAUGUGUAGUGUGGCAUACUGAUUAUUAUAGUUUGAUAAUGUCAGGCGCCGAUGGAUUUAUAGAUAUGUAAAUAAAAUACCUUUAAGUAAAACUAAGCAUUUAAUUAUUGUUCUGUUAUGUUAUUGAUUUCACCGGCUUUAUGUCGGCCGAUUAGUUCUGAAGGAUUCCACAUCGGCUAAUUUAGAUUAUGUUACUAGAGUAUUAGAAGAAGUUCCUGAUAUAUGUAUUUAGAGAAUUUGCUGAGAUUUGAUACAAAAUAUUGAUGACCAGGCAUUAUACUGCGCAUAAGCACAAUUUUUUAGUUUUUCUUUUUAUUGUUGCAGCAGCUUUUCUAUAGCAAUAGCCAAAUAGUGUGACAUAACACUAUUCCAUUUUCAUAGGCCAUAACACAUCUUUACAUGUAAGUUUGUUCUCUAGAUAGUUCUAUUUCCAAGAUUUUCAUAUCAUAUUUGUCGUGGGAUCUAACUGCUUUACCAUAUUUUCCUGGUGUGGACGAUGUUAUAGAGUGAGCUACCAUCACUUCUCAUUACUGACUGUAAUCAAUAUAUAUGUGUUUAUGCCAUAAAAGAUGGAUAUUUGUUGAAGCCAUUGUCGUGUCAUGUAAUUACUUGCAGAUCAACUAUAUAGUUUUGUUCGGAUUGUAAAGUGGAAACGAUAAAACCCUACAACUCAUGUGUGAUUGUCAUUUGAUUA